CAGUCGCCACGGUAAUACGAAGGGUGCAAGCGUUACUCGGAAUUACUGGGCGUAAAGCGUGCGUAGGUGGUGGUUUAAGUCCGUUGUGAAAGCCCUGGGCUCAACCUGGGAAUUGCAGUGGGUACUGGGUCACUAGAGUGUGGUAGAGGAUAGUGGAAUUUCCGGUGUAGCAGUGAAAUGCGUAGAGAUCGGAAGGAACAUCUGUGGCGAAGGCGACUAUCUGGGCCAACACUGACACUGAGGCACGAAAGCGUGGGGAGCAAACAGGAUUAGAUACCCGAGUAGUCCCUGUCUCUUAUAC
rnacentral:rRNA from 1 species